rnacentral:rRNA from 1 species
UACGAAGGGGGCUAGCGUUGUUCGGAAUUACUGGGCGUAAAGCGCACGUAGGCGGAUAUUUAAGUCAGGGGUGAAAUCCCGCAGCUCAACUGCGGAACUGCCUUUGAUACUGGGUAUCUUGAGUAUGGAAGAGGUUAGUGGAAUUGCGAGUGUAGAGGUGAAAUUCGUAGAUAUUCGCAGGAACGCCAGUGGCGAAGGCGGCUAACUGGUCCAUAACUGACGCUGAGGUGCGAAAGCGUGGGGAGCAAACAGG